UAAGGAAUAUUGGACAAUGGAGGCAACUCUGAUCCAGCCAUGCCGCGUGAAGGAUUAAGGCCCUAUGGGUUGUAAACUUCUUUUAGACGGGACAAAACCCCUUUACGUGUAAAGGGUUGAUGGUACUGUCAGAAUAAGCAUCGGCUAACUUCGUGCCAGCAGCCGCGGUAAUACGAAGGAUGCAAGCGUUAUCCGGAAUUAUUGGGUUUAAAGGGUGCGUAGGCGGACUAAUAAGUCAGUGGUGAAAGCCUGCAGCUUAACUGCAGAAUUGCCGUUGAUACUGUUAGUCUUGAGUACAGUUGAGGUAGGCGGAAUGUGUCAUGUAGCGGUGAAAUGCUUAGAUAUGACACAGAACACCGAUUGCGAAGGCAGCUUGCUAAGCUGUAACUGACGCUGAGGCACGAAAGCGUGGGGAGCAAACA
rnacentral:rRNA from 2 species